CAAAGACAAAACGGCAAUGGGGGAAAUAAUUUGCGUCGUCAGGUUGGUCAAUUGACAGACCAGAUGGGCAAAUUAAUGGAGGGAAUGGCAAAGAUCAACCAAGUCUUUGCUCUCAAUCCUUUUUUUAGGAAUAGCUCCAAUUGCAGAACUACCUGUGCAACCGCAGCAACAACAACAGGUGCCGCAGCAAUAAUAGCCACUGUGACUAAACAGGCUAGGUUAUCAGUAGAUGUAAU